rnacentral:misc_RNA from 1 species
AAGUCGUAACAAGGUUUCCGUAGGUGAACCUGCGGAAGGAUCAUUACAUAAUUAAAACAAUAAAAGUAUGCUGGGCGCUCUGGUGCGUAAAAAACACCUAGGCGUCUACAUACUUCUAUUUUAAACCCUUGUGAACCGUAAUUGACACCUUUGGCGCAGCAUUCAGGUUGCUUGUGAAGCCCUUUCGGGGGCGUUCCGGGCAGCUGCCGCGUCAAACGGUACCAAACACAACAAACCAUUUGCACAACUAUAAAGACUUAAUCUAAGAUUUUCUAAUUGAAAUACAACUUUUAACAAUGGAUCUCUUGGCUCUU